rnacentral:rRNA from 1 species
UACGGGGGGGGCAAGCGUUGUUCGGAAUUACUGGGCGUAAAGGGCUCGUAGGCGGCCAACUAAGUCAUACGUGAAAUCCCUCGGCUUAACCGGGGAACUGCGUCUGAUACUGGAUGGCUUGAGUUCGGGAGAGGGAUGCGGAAUUCCAGGUGUAGCGGUGAAAUGCGUAGAUAUCAGGAAGAACACCCGUGGCUAAGGCGGCUCUCUAGUACGGUACUGACGCUGAGACGCGAAAGCGUGGGGAGCGAACAGG